CGGUUCCUAAUACCUUUGCAAGAACCUUUAGAGUGAAUCAAAAUGUGAACGAAUCGACUACGGGAGCGCAACGUCUUUAAAGCGGGUUCCCUUUUUGCAUUUUUCCGGUGUCAAGGAAAAACAAAAAAAAGAGGUGCCGUUCACUGCGUGUGUGCGUUCGUAUUUCAUUUUGCAAAUCGAGCUAGUAAAUGCUUUUUUAUUAUUUGAACUAAAGUCAUACGUUUUCCCUAGUCCUUCAUCAUCUGCUAGUCAUCCUAUAAGUGUGGAAGUGUUUCAUUAGCUGUUUUGCCGAAAGUCUUAACGAAAAAAAGUGUAAAUUUGCAACUUUCGCUCGGCUUUGUACAUCAAUGUAAUGGAAGCUUAGAGAAAGUUUGUCUCAUCCUGUUCAGCUGUGUUUUUCUCCAAUCAAUUUCGCGACAUUGUGCAACGCGCCAGCCUAGACCAAGCAGUACAAUCAACCAAACAGUGAAAAAUACGUUUCAUAGCAAAACGGAAAAAGAGAAGAAAAAAAUCAGAAACAGACCAAGAAGACUCGCAGUGUAAUUUGUAUGGGACGAAACAUUGGUAACAGUUCCAUCUCGUCGGCCAUAGAAUGAUCAAGGACAUUCCUUAUUCUACAGUGCAGCUCGUGUUACUCUGUGUGCGACUGCUUAGCGGUGUAUCGAUUUGCCGAGGCCAUCGAACGGGUGCCGUGUAAAAUACAGCAAAUAAAAUCCUUGUCGCUACCAGACACCAGCAAACAGACGUCACACGGUCCAUCCGGCCGACAUCCUCCAUCUGAAGCCCUCCGCUUGUCGUUCUCCGUUGCAUCAAUACCACGUGGUGCUUACCAUCCGUGCGCGUGACGGGCUGGCGCAAACGACAAAACACUGGACUAACCAUACGAAUUCGAAU